GGCCUCAGUCAAAAGAACCUACAGUCCUUUUGUAAAUCUGUGGCAAUAGAAAGCAGUGGCAAAAGAUGUAUGAGGGUACUGACAAGUUAUGUGGUGCCAAGUCAGAAUCAACUUAUAACAACCUUAAUAGGGCUUUCAAGGCAUUUCUCAAGAAACGUGUUGCAGAUAUCUGGGAGACCUGACAUUAAGAAGCAAAAUAUGUACGUGAAAUCAGCUCUUCGAUUAUGCUCAGACCAGGAGGCAAGGCUGGAGGAGUCAUGUCUUCCCAAGG